rnacentral:rRNA from 1 species
GAUGAACGCUAGCGGCAGGCCUAACACAUGCAAGUCGAGGGGUAAGAAGAGCUUGCUUUUCUGAGACCGGCGCACGGGUGCGUAACGCGUAUACAAUCUACCUUGUACAGGGGGAUAGCCCAGAGAGAUUUGGAUUAAUACCUCAUAGUGUUAUUGAGUGGCAUCACUUGAUAACUAAAGUUCCAACGGUACAAGAUGAGUAUGCGUACCAUUAGUUAGAUGGUAAGGUAACGGCUUACCAUGACAAUGAUGGGUAGGGGUCCUGAGAGGGAGAUCCCCCACAAUGGUACUGAGACACGGACCAGACUCCUACGGGAGGCAGCAGUGAGGAAUAUUGGACAAUGGGGGCAACCCUGAUCCAGCCAUGCCGCGUGCAGGAUGACGGUCCUAUGGAUUGUAAACUGCUUUUAUACAGGAAGAACCCCUUCUUUGCGAAGAAGACUGACGGUACUGUAAGAAUAAGGAUCGGCUAACUCCGUGCCAGCCGCCGCUGUAAAAC